GUCUAUGGCCAUACCACCUUGAACAUACCUGAUCUGAUCUUGGAAGCUAAACAAGGUCUGGCCUGGUUACUUAGUACUUGGAUGGCAGACA
rnacentral:rRNA from 1 species